rnacentral:rRNA from 1 species
UUGGAGGGCAAGUCUGGUGCCAGCAGCCGCGGUAAUUCCAGCUCCAAUAGCGUAUAUUAAAGUUGUUGCAGUUAAAAAGCUCGUAGUUGAAUUUCGGGGUUAGUAGGUUGGUCAUGCCUCUGGUAUGUACUGGUCUCACUGAUUCCUCCUUCCUUAUGAACCGUAAUGCCAUUAAUUUGGUGUUGCGCGGAAUUUGGACUGUUACUUUGAAUUAAUUAGAGUGUUUAAAGCAGGC